rnacentral:rRNA from 1 species
GGAUGCGAUCAUACCAGCACUAAAGCACCGGAUCCCAUCAGAACUCCGAAGUUAAGCGUGCUUGGGCGAGAGUAGUACUAGGAUGGGUGACCUCCUGGUAAGUCCUCGUGUUGCAUCCC